rnacentral:rRNA from 1 species
AGAACGAACGCUGGCGGCGUGGAUAAGACAUGCAAGUCGAACGGGAUUACUUUUGUAGCAAUACAGAAGUAAUUCAGUGGCGAACGGGUGCGUAACACGUGGGCAAUCUGCCGAAAAGUGGGGGAUAGCUCGCCGAAAGGCGAAUUAAUACCGCAUGUGGUGAGGGACGACAUCGUCCUGAAUCCAAAGCCGGGGUCAAACCUGGCGCUUUUUGAGGAGCCCGCGGCCUAUCAGCUUGUUGGUGAGGUAACGGCCCACCAAGGCUUUGACGGGUAGCUGGUCUGAGAGGACGACCAGUCACACUGGAACUGAGACACGGUCCAGACACCUACGGGUGGCAGCAGUCGAGAAUUUUCUCAAUGGGGGCAACCUGAAGGAGCGACGCCGCGUGGAGGAUGAAGGCUUUCGGUGUAAACUCCUGUCAUUUGAGAACAAGGGCCGAAUUAACUACUUACGGCCUUGACUAGUAUCAAGAAGAGGAAGGACGGACUAACGUCUGUCGACCGUA